ensembl:lncRNA
CCGAAGCCUAGCGCGGCCACAUGCCCGCCCGCGGUCCCGCCGGUGCCCACCGGUCUCCACCCUACCUGUGCGUCCAGCCCUGCGAAGUCCGCCACCCGGGCGCCCGGUGCCAACGGUCCCUAAUGUGACCAGGGCUGACUGCAGGGCGGGGUGACCCCAGUCCCUGGUGGGGCUCAGUUCUGAGGGACAGCCCUGGAGUGAGUCUAUCCCGUGCCUUCCGCCCACUCCCACGGACGGCGCCGCCGACUCCGGGGCCGAGCAGCUUCACACUGAGGCGAGCCGGCCCGGAGCCGAGGGCGAGGGCCACACACCCCCUGGCGGCCCGCCCGCAGGGCACAAAAAGGUUUAGAGGUGGGACGCACAGAGGGGGGCGGGAGGGAACCGGACGUGACACCACAAGGAAGCUGCGGCGGACGAUUAGCCACGGCGGAAGCCGGUGCCUCAGUAAUUCCGGCGCGCCAGUGCGGACGAGCCGCUAAGCAGCGCCCCCUGCAGGCACACAUUGGCACCUUCCGGGCCGUCCCACCGCGGCCCGCCAGAGCCGGCGUCGGGCCGUCGGCACCUUCCGUUCUGUUCGGCUGCCGACCGCGGGGCGGAGGCGCGUUACUGUUGCACUGCCGCACCCCCUUGUGGCCUCCCGUUGGCAACGAACGUUCCACCACUCCAGGGCCGGUGAUGCGGAACGAAGACAAAAGCGCUUACUAACGCACACACGGAACAACCCCCCAGCACCGUACCGUCGGAAUCUUGGAUAAUGCCGAGUCACGAGGUUCCGCCUUCAGGCCACAGGAUGCUGGAUUUGGCGUUUGAGCGCUGGGAUUGGCAACUGGCUGCCGGAAGCCUUCCCGGAGUCUGUAUCACGGAAAGGUUCUUCCUCAGCUGGAGAUCUGCCCUCCAAACUGUACUUGUUAUCAAACCUUCAUCCGCUUUUUCUUGGUUGAAAGUCAGUAAGGUUUGAAGGUCUCCUUCAAAUCUUAUUCAGAAUGGCUGUGAGCCACCAUGUGGUUGCUGGGAAUUGAACUCAGGAUCUUUGGAAGAGCAGGCUCUUAACCGCUGAGCCAUCUCUCCAGCGCCAAGCUAGGUCUUCUUGCAUAUUAGUUUAUAUGGUUUUUUCAUGACAAUGAGACACAUUUGCUCCUGGCAACACCAAUUACUUCAAGAGGAAGAUGAGCAUCGUAGGAGCCCAUGGAAUUUGCUUUCAAUAUGGCAAGACUAGCAGUUAGGGGAACAAACUGCUUUUGCCUGGACUGCUUGACUGUAUGCUGUAUAAACUGGACAUGCAGGGCCCACAGGAAAGUGACUGCUGAAUUUGCCAGAACAAUAUGGGACAGUCCUUCAGGGUUCCUGCCUCAUGGAAGAGUCUGUCAGACAUUCUGCCAAUAUAGGUGGGACAGUUUCAAAUUUUCUGCUUUACUUCUAGGCCUACAGGCUAAAGAUGGAUGCCGCAACAUUAUAGAACUUUGGGUAACUGUCCAGGCAUCAAGAUGUCUUUGUCAAUUCUAGAGUUUAUAUAAUAUCCUUAUAGGGUCUUUGACGGAGUUGAAGACAGUUAUGGUUUUCCUUAGAUAUGAUAAAAGAUAAGUUACACAUAAACUUUAGACUCACAAAGAUAAUUUUAAAAUUAUGUCAAAUGUUAGUGGACUAAAUAUUAACUGUAGUUCUUGCUUGGUAACUGUUUUGUUAUAUAUAAUUUUACUAUGUUAAACCCUCCUUUUUAUUUAGACAGAAAAGAGGUGAUGGGAGAUGUCCUUCUGUAGCUGUGAAUAUAUGUUUCUCUUACUGGUUGAUGAAUAAAGCUGGUUUGGCCAAUGGACAGGCAGGAUGUAGCCAGGCAGUAAGUAUAGGCAGGGCUACCAGAUGAGAAUUCUGGGAGAUGCUAUGUAGUCGCUGAGGAAGAAAGUGGCCCA